rnacentral:rRNA from 1 species
CAGCCGCCACGGUAACACGUAGGUGGCAAGCGUUGUCCGGAAUUAUUGGGCGUAAAGGGCUCGCAGGCGGUUUCUUAAGUCUGAUGUGAAAGCCCCCGGCUCAACCGGGGAGGGUCAUUGGAAACUGGGAAACUUGAGUGCAGAAGAGGAGAGUGGAAUUCCACGUGUAGCGGUGAAAUGCGUAGAGAUGUGGAGGAACACCAGUGGCGAAGGCGACUCUCUGGUCUGUAACUGACGCUGAGGAGCGAAAGCGUGGGGAGCGAACAGGAUUAGAUACCCGUGUAGUCCCUGUCUCUUAUAC